UUGCGAUGAAUAAUUUUCUGACUUUUUGAAUGCAUGGUAGCACUUUGGAUUACAUUAAUAUACUUGACUGUAUUUGCAUGUGGCUAUCAUAGUUACCAGUGAAUAUAGAGGUCUGAUUAAAUGGGAUACUAAAUUCUUUUGUUUUUUCAGUAUAACUCAAUAAAUGCGCAUUCUGAUUACAGACUGCUAGAUUUGGUUGUUCAGCCUGUCCCCCGGCCUUCUCAGUGUUCGGAGUUUAUUCAGCAAAGCUCCAUGAAAUCUCCUUUGUACCUAGUAUCCCGUUCACUGCCCUCAAGUUCGCAAUUAAAAGGAUCGCCUCAGGCCAUCUCCAGGGCUUCAGAAUUACAUUUGCUUGAAACUCCUCUUGUAGUUAAGAAAGCUAAAAGUUUGGCCAUGUCAGUUACUACUUCUGGAUUUUCUGAGUUCACUCCUCAGUCCAUCCUGAGGUCUACUCUUCGAUCAACACCUUUAGCAUCUCCCUCUCCAUCACCUGGAAGGUCUCCUCAACGACUUAAAGAAACUAGAAUUUCAUUUGUGGAAGAAGAUGUCCACCCAAAAUGGAUUCCUGGGG
rnacentral:lncRNA from 1 species